ensembl:lncRNA
UGUUAUGGCCUGGAGGACAAGCUCACUGACCUCGCUCGCUGCCCGCCGAGAUGGGCGCCGGUGCCAGCCCAGAGGAAAUUGCAAAGAUGACCUUCUGCAGCAGCAGCUACCUGGCUUGCUGUCGGGACCUUUACACUGCCUUACGGCUUUGCCAGAACUCUGCCUGCACGCUUGGAAGUUAAGUACACACAUGAAUGCUUUUCCGGAACAGGACUUCCUGACACUGAACGUCAGGCAGCCGAGGAGGCUGACUUUGCCCUACUGAUAGCAGGGAUCCCAAACUGCAGGAGGCAGAGGAGGAGGGAGGUGGUUGUAGAUACCGCUACCAAUAAUGUUAUCAGCUGGUAUUUAGCAAAGAGAAUUUGGGAACCUGUUUUUCAUGAUAAACAUGACUCUUACUGAACACAAAAUACAUUACAAUAAUCACAGCACUCCAAUCUUAACUCUGAUUCCUUAGGUGUAAUGGUUUCUACAUGCUGAUACUUAAAUGUGCUCUUUCCAAUAUUUUUUGUGUUGAAGUGUUUUUAAUCAUUGCAGGAUAAUGUAAUAUAAUAGGAAGAUGCACAAUUUGUGAUGAAAGUAUUCAUGUGCUUUCAUGUGACAUUUGGCCAAUGCAUGUAUACAUGCCUUUUUUCUUCAAGAGGCUACACAUUUCUCUGUGAUCACUGAUACGUGGGGUCAGAGUUAAUGUUGUUGAGUUCUGAUGAAAUACAGUCACAAAUAUUACUGUUUCUGCAGAAUGUGGUCUAAUUGUGGCAGGAAUCUCAAGCGCUCACUACUAUUACUGUAACUUCAGCUUGCAGGAAUGGAACAAGUUAGUUCAGUUUCUUGCAGUCAGUAAACUCAAACUCGCCCCCACCCCCAAGAAACAGUUGUCUCAUCUUGUGUGUCCUCCUGUAAGUACUUUUCUUCUGGCGGUCUUCCUGACCCCCUAAGGCAGCAGCUCCUCGGGCACCCACUGGAGACCAAGGGAGGUGUUCUGGUUUGGGGGGCAGGGGGGUGGUUUGGGGGGCUCUUUUGCUUUAUAGUUUUCUCAAAACAGCCCUGUCUUUGGAGAAGCACAUCUCAAUCAACCGUCCUCCACUGCUGCUUAGCCUUGUAAGCUUGCAGUUCAAGCAUGGUUCAGCUGUCUCAGAUCUUGCAAGCAUAGGUAUGUUAUGAGCAAUACUGAAAGAUUUUUGUACUGGUAACCUUAUUCUGUCAGGUGUGAUUCCCACUACAGGUUACUUUGACCAGCUCUACACUGGUCACUUUUCUUCCAGUGC